GCCUGGGUGGCUCAGUCGGUUGAGCGUCCGACUUCAGCUCAGGUCACGAUCUCGCGGUCCGUGAGUUCAAGCCCCGCAUCGGGCU
rnacentral:tRNA from 1 species